AAGAGGUACAGAGUGGAAAGCUUGUGAACAGCAGAAUGGUGGUUGUAAGAUUUACUGAGCAGGAGGCCAGUGUCCCAUCCAUGAUUGCCAAAGUAAAAGAUGCCUUAGGAAGCAAUGAACAACUCAUCCUGACAGACCACAAUGGAGUGGAAAUAUUGGACUCAGAAGGAACAAGAGGCACCUUUUAUUGGAAGCAGAUCUCAUGAAAAAUCAUGGCUGUACCAGAGGUUGAUUUCCAAGCUGUGCAACAAAAGAGGCAAAGAAUCUCACGCAGAGAUGACGAGGGUGGACUGGACAGUGUGUUCGAGAAGAUCGAGGAGCUUGUCCUGGCUGCUCAGGGUUUGUCUGAGGUGACAACUGCCAUUCAGGGACUCUCUGACGUGGUCCAUCGAAACAGGAAUACAACAUUGGUACUGACUGAUGAACAGUCCAGGAAUGUUAGGGAUACAUUCACUUGUCUGGUUUGCAGGGGUAAGUCUUGUCCUUAGGAAGACAAAAAAUUAUGUAUUAACCCUGACAAACAUAUUGUUGUUGUUUGGUGGAAUUUAUGAUGUAG